rfam:Endozoicomonas sp. (ex Bugula neritina AB1) isolate AB1-5 ACH42_contig000212, whole genome shotgun sequence.
CUGAUACAGGAGCAAUCCUGCAUGACCGCAAUGCAGAAGUCAGCAGACGGCAUAGUAAGUGGCCUCUCGCCACUGAAGGCC